rnacentral:tmRNA from 1 species
ACCUAUUGGACCCGGGGGCGGUACCCGGCGCCUCCACCAAAGUAUAAAUAACCAAAAUUAUAUUUUGGUGGGGGCGAAAUAGGAUCGACAAGGGUGUAAAGAUCGCUCUUUUACUCGGCAUUGUACCACCGUUAUCGGGCUAAAUGAGUAGUUGCAAAUGACAACUAUGCGGAAGCACGUCUCGCCGCCUAAGGUGGUGUGAAUGUUUCAAAUUGACUCUUAAACCGUCGCAGGUUUAAGCGGGGUUGGAAGG